UAUUAAUUAUUUUUUCUUAAUUAAAACACUAUUUGUUUUUUAUUUGAGAUGGGCCUCACAUUUCUUGGGAUUUGUAAGGGAAAGGUUAGUGGAUACUGAAUAAAUUGCAUUUUCCAUUCGGUGAGGGCUAUUAAUGAAAUAUGACGCUAAGUUGAUUAGUCUAAGAAAGAGCAAUACUUAUUUUAAUCCAAUACUUGUAUGUAAGUGUCCAAUGUACAAUACAUACUCUAUUUAGCAAAUGUGCAAGCAGAGGAAUCAGAUACUAAAUUCUGUCUGUAAUUCAAUAGGAACUAGUUCAUGGUUUUGCAUGUAAAGAGCAGAAGAAGUGGUGAGAACUGUUACCAAUACACAGUGGCAAAUUUAAACACCUCUAAAGCUUUUUCUAUGGUAUGAUUGUAGAUGUGCAGUCUCUAUGCUUGCUUGCUUUCAUGCUACAUUGCUGUGCUCAAUUUAAUUAAAUACUGCUUGGGACCAUGGUUUUAUUUUUGUUGUAUGUGCACACCACAUGGAUUUAUACUUUACUUUUUUUUGGUGGGGGUGGGGGGUCUUUUGCAUCUUUAUCAUAUUUUUCCCCAUUUCUAUUCACUCCUCAUCUUAGGAUUUCACAUCCUCUGAAGUGCGAGUGUAAUCACUGCAAGUUCAUCCACUGCUGCUACUUGCGAAUGCCUGCAACGUGCACAAGGCUCAGACAUUAUGGGGACAACUCAGAUUCUGCCUGGCAUUUUGCAGAAGCAUUGCUGUAUUUUACCAGACAGGAAUACAGAAUAAAGUGGAAGAUGAUGUGAAAUUACUUCUUUGGGUAAGUUCUUACUCUUGUGUAUGGAUUAUGGUGUGGUAAGUUUGGCUUUUGAACAAUUAUAUGGAAGGAAAAUCUCAAGGCGAGUGAGUGAGAGAAGAGAUAUUUGUUGAGUUAAUAUUUCCCCCUCUACCCUGGAAAAAACAAAAUAUUAAUUUGAAAUGCAUUUAUUUAAUCGGAAGCCCUUGCUUGAAACUUGGAGUCAUCGUAAAACGUGAAGAUUUAUAAAACUUAUUCAUCAUCAUAAAUAUGGUGAAAUUUGGCUGUGUGACAAAUUGUGUGAACGUUUUAAAAUACUUGAAGUAGUUGUGCAUUAAUUUCAUAGAGGGUGAGAAAAUACACAAACACCAACUUAUCAUUUGUGUGAUCUGUUGAGAACAUAUAUCAAUGCAUGAGGCACUUCCAUUUUUUCAAAAAUAACUAAAAUUAAAAUAAACCUGAUUUCUUUCCCUCA
rnacentral:lncRNA from 1 species